UGCACGAAAUAAUUUUUUGAAUUAAGAGUAUUUUCGUCUAUUUAUGAAAUACACGAAGUAAAAGAUAAACUAUAUAUCACAUUGGACUUAUCUUUAUUUGAUGUAGAUAUAAUAUAGUAACUACAAGGGUAUAAUUGUGAAAUACUAAAAACGAAAAGUAAUCAAGGUAACCCGGCCUUAACUUGGACCGGCAGAAGAGGAUCCAAAAAUUGCAAAUUCCAGUUGCCAUCACUAUCCACCAUAGGGCGGACUGUCAAGAGUUCCACUUGCAAAAGUUGAUCGGACUUAAAGAGCAAACUUCAUUCCAUUAUCGAUUCAAAUAUCAUGUCAAAAAUUCUCGCCCCGAAUGCUAAUAUAAGUAUUCCGAUAGACUACAUCCCACACCUUCCGUAACUCUCGCCAAAAAGGCGACGAUGUCUUCAGGCGAAUUGGGAUGAAACCGUUUGGUCCCUCUCUGAUGUAUUUGGACAGAAGGAUUCUAACCCAAAGAGCCUUGGGCUGAGAAAAAAUAUUCAACACGCGUUUCAUUAAAAAGCCUCAUUCAUCUUUGAUUCUUUGUCCUACAAACAACAUCUCAAGAAAUUAAGUGAGGCUUUUAUACGUUUAUUUUAAUUUUUCAAAAACGAUUAAAAUUAAUAUAGUCUUCAUAUAUUUUGAAGAAUUAUCUUUUUUUUAUACAUCAGACAUAUUGGCUAACUGUUUUAAAACUAAACUUUAUAUGUGAGGUAGUUAUUAAUAACUUAUACUUAUGUACCUUCAUUCGAGAUGCAAAGCCUAAAUAAUUAAAUUUUUUAUUUAAAUAUAAUAUUCCAUUAAGAUUACUUUGACGCAUGAGACGCACCAAAGGACCAGCGGGCUCAUUCGGCGGCGCAUGACCGGGACGUCAACCCCUUCGCGGGUGGCCGGCGGAAACUUUUAAUGUUGUAAUGUAAAUUAAUAUUUAAUUUAAAUUAUGGUUAAUUUAUUAGUUUUAAUGAGAAACCUUAGAAAAAAGUGGUUGUGAAAUCUUAAUGAAUUGUUUUAAAACACAAUUUACUUGGAAAUAAUUUAGAAAGAUAAUAUAAAAUUAAAAUAAUAUAAAAUGAUGCUUACCAGACCCAGCAAAGCAAGAUGCUACCUUAGACAUUUUUCAAUAAAAAUUUCAUCACAAGUAUCAAGGUGUAACAAUGGUUGAGGCCAUGGCCCCUGCCCCUUAACAACCCUACGUAUGUAUUCCUUGU
rnacentral:lncRNA from 1 species